CUACGGGGUGCACCAGCAUCGAAUAUUCCGCAAUGGGCGAAAGCCUGACGGAGCAAUGCCGCGUGUGGGAAGAAGCCCUUCGGGGUGUAAACCACUGUCAGGGAUUACCAAGCAAUGGGGUUUAAUAGACCCCGGCGUUGAGGAGUCCCACAGGAAGCCACGGCUAACUUCGUGCCAGCAGCCGCGGUAAUACGAAGGUGGCAAGCGUUGUUCGGAAUCACUGGGCUUAAAGGGCGCGUAGGCGGCCCUGCAAGCGUCGUGUGAAAUCCCGCGGCUCAACCGAGGAAUGGCACGGCGAACUGCAGGACUUGAGGCAAGUAGAGGUGCGUGGAACUCUUGGUGGAGCGGUGAAAUGCGUAGAUAUCAAGAGGAACGCCAGCGGCGAAAGCGGCGCACUGGGCUUGUCCUGACGCUGAGGCGCGAAAGCCAGGGGAGCGAACGGGAUUAGAUACCCCCGUAGUC
rnacentral:rRNA from 1 species